UGCUAGUCGAGUGGCUCAGGCAAAACGAGUCACGGCACACAGCUCAGUAACACGUGGCUAAUCUGCCCUUAGGACGAGAACAACCCCGGGAAACUGGGGCUAAUUCUUGAUAGGUGAAGAACUCUGGAAUGAGUCUUUGCUUAAAUGGAUUCACGUUAUCCUCGUGAGUUUGCCUAAGGAUGAGGCCGCGACCGAUCAGGUUGUUGGCGAGGUAAUGGCUCACCAAGCCUUUUACCGGUGCGGGCCGUGGGAGCGGGAGCCCGGAGAUGGGUACUGAGACAAGGACCCAGGCCCUACGGGGCGCAGCAGUCGCGAAACCUUUGCAAUACACGAAAGUGUGACAGGGCUAUCCCGAGUGCCAUCCGCUGAGGAAGGCUUUUACCCAGUCUAGAACGCUGGGGGAAUAAGGAGAGGGCAAGUCUGGUGUCAGCCGCCGCGGUAAUACCAGCUCUCCGAGUGGUGUGGAUGUUUAUUGGGCCUAAAGCAUCCGUAGCUGGCUAGGUAAGUCCUUUGUUAAAUCCACCGAAUUAAUCGUUGGAUCGCGGGGGAUACUGCUUGGCUAGGGGACGAGAGAGGCAGACGGUAUUUUCGGGGUAGGGGUGAAAUCCUAUAAUCCCGGGAAGACCACCAGUGGCGAAGGCUGUCUGCUAGAACGCGCCCGACGGUGAGGGAUGAAAGCUGGGGGAGCGAACCGGAUUAGAUACCCGGGUAGUCCCAGCUGUAAACGAUGCAGACUAGGUGUUUGGACGGCCACGUGCCGUUCUAGUGCCGCAGGAAGCUGUUAAGUCUGCCGCCUGGGGAGUACGAUCGCAAGAUUGAAACUUAA
rnacentral:rRNA from 1 species